rnacentral:pre_miRNA from 1 species
CUUCAACCGAGCGGGUAUGGUUGUGUUCCAAAGCCGGUAGUGAUAGCGACACUUUGGCACAAUCACACCUGCUCAGGCGGAAU